ensembl:lncRNA
UGGCUACUUGCCAAAAAUAAUAAAAAGAAACAUCACAGGCUGGUUAUCAGAAAACCUGCUGACAAACUGUACCGCUAACGGUCAUUAUUUCACUAAGUCGGAAUGACCAUCAUUACAUGUAAAGUCAUAUUUGUCCUCUAAAGUUUACAAAGCGCAAAGGUCUGAGAUAAAGCGCAAAGGUCUGAGAUAAAGCGUAAAGGUAAAGGUCUGAGAUAAAGCGUAAAGGUCUGAGAUAAAGCGUAAAGGUAAAGGUCUGAGAUAAAGCGUAAAGGUCUGAGAUAAAGCGUAAAGGUCUGAGAUAAAGCGUAAAG